GAAGGGCUGUCCCUAGUACGAGAGGACCGGGACGGACGAACCUCUGGUGUGCCAGUUGUUCUGCCAAGGGCAUGGCUGGUUGGCUACGUUCGGGAGGGAUAACCGCUGAAAGCAUCUAAGCGGGAAGCCUGCUUCGAGAUGAGUAUUCCCACCUCCUUGAGAGGGUAAGGCUCCCAGUAGACGACUGGGUUGAUAGGCCGGAUAUGGAAGCCCUGUAAGGGGUGGAGUUGACCGGUACUAAUAGGCCGAGGGCUUGUCCUCAGUUG
rnacentral:rRNA from 1 species